CCUACGGGUGGCUGCAGUGAGGAAUAUUGGUCAAUGGGCGCGAGUCUGAACCAGCCAAGUCGCGUGAGGGAAGACGGCCCUACGGGUUGUAAACCUCUUUUGCCGGGGAGCAACGGGCGCCACGUGUGGCGCCACUGAGAGUACCCGGAGAAAAAGCAUCGGCUAACUCCGUGCCAGCAGCCGCGGUAAUACGGAGGAUGCGAGCGUUAUCCGGAUUUAUUGGGUUUAAAGGGUGCGUAGGCGGGCUUUUAAGUCAGCGGUAAAAAUUCGGGGCUCAACCCCGUCCGGCCGUUGAAACUGGGGGCCUUGAGUGGGCGAGAAGAAGGCGGAAUGCGUGGUGUAGCGGUGAAAUGCAUAGAUAUCACGCAGAACCCCGAUUGCGAAGGCAGCCUUCCGGCGCCCUACUGACGCUGAGGCACGAAAGUGCGGGGAUCGAACAGGAUUAGAUACCCCGGUAGUC
rnacentral:rRNA from 1 species